CUGCGCUGAACACUGCAGGACACUUCCUGGAAUGUCUGCAACCCACCAACGUUCCGUCAGAUCGUGGUGGAGGAAUUUCCUCUAGCAUUAGCAAAUCAACCUCUGCUUCACCCAGAAGGGAAACAUGCGCCACCCAAAAUUUGCCAGAGUGUUGUGUGAUCAGACGUGCAGUUUGAGCAAGGAUGCUUGGCCUGU